rnacentral:lncRNA from 1 species
CAAGGUAAUUAGAGUCUCCUUUAUCAUAAUAAAAUAGGUGGUGGAAUCAUUAAUAUUGUGUGUGUGUGUGUGUGUGUGUGUGUGUGUGUGUGUGUGUGUGCAUGUUAGUGCAUUUUGAAGGUCUGUCUUUUGUUUCAACCCUUUGGAUGCUUCCCCGCUUUAGUAGCUUUGGCAGAGACUCAGUUCUUAUCCUUCCCAUAUCCAGUGUGGAGAGCACCUUGGAGUGAGGUGGGAGGACUCUGAAUGUGUGAUUCCCCCAGCUAUUCCAGAGCACACAUCAAGAUUUUCAAGCGCAGCAGGGGAUACAAACUUUAGGGUUAAGACAGAGUCUGGCUCAGAUGAGCUCUGUCGUUUUCUAGCCUCAGGGUCUUGGGCCUGGUUUCUUAUUUCCACAAUGAAGAAAAUAGUAUUUUGUAGGGUUGAUGUGAAUAUUUAACAGAUUAGUAAAUAUAUUACUUACCACAGUACCU